rnacentral:misc_RNA from 1 species
GGAGUAAAAGUCGUAACAAGGUUUCCGUAGGUGAACCUGCGGAAGGAUCAUUACUGAGUGAGGGCCCCUCGGGGUCCAACCUCCCACCCGUGUUUAACGAACCUUGUUGCUUCGGCGGGCCCGCCUCACGGCCGCCGGGGGGCAUCUGCCCCCGGGCCCGCGCCCGCCGAAGCCACCUGUGAACGCUGUCUGAAGUAUGCAGUCUGAGACAAUUAUUAAAUUAAUUAAAACUUUCAACAACGGAUCUCUUAGUUCCG